CCCCUCUUUUUUGACACAAUGGUACUUUUAACAGGGCCUGUGCGCAAAAGCUAUAACAGUAUUAUAACACAGGCUAUAUUAAUCAUACCGUAGAAGGAUAUUUCUGUGGCACCCAGCGCGUUGCUCUGGUCUUUGCCUUUGAGCGGCUAAACGGGCCGUCAUUUAACUGGGCCUUCACGCAAGCUCUGUGACAACAUUGAACAUGAGCAAUAUUAACCAUUUACAGAAAAAAGAGGAUGUUCCUGUUUCACAUAGUUCGUUGAACUUUUAGUCUUCCAAUAUGGCGGCUAAACAGGCCUUCAUCCUCAGAUACCACCAACAUUUAUACUGAGUUAUAUCAUAGUUUCUAGGACUAUCCAGCCCCUCUCUUUUGACACAAUGGUACUUUUAACAGGGCCUGUGCGCAAAAGCUAUAACAGUAUUAUAACACAGGCUAUAUUAAUCAUACAGUAAAAGGAUAUUUCUGUGGCACCCAGCGCGUUGCUCUGGUCUUUGCCUUUGAGCGGCUAAACGGGCCGUCAGUUCUUUCGGGUCUUGCUAGGUGAGCCCACCAUGUGCCAGUCCUCUUGCAGUCGUCGCUGCGGUGAUCCUCUACUCACGUCAGGCUCCUUGUAAGGGAAGAGGCCCCAUUCCGCCAGUAAUCUCAUACCCACUUCGGGUUCCUCUGCUAUGUGAUUCUUCCCCCCUUUCCACACGAUCACCUUCGUGGGGUAUCCCCAGCGGUAGGGUAUAUUGUUAUUUCGCAGCGUUUUUGUUACUGUGAUGAAGUCCCGUCGGCGGGCCAUGGUGAGUGCUGACAGGUCCGCGUACAGUUGAAUUGUUCCAUAGGGGUCAGGUAAUUUGGGAAGUUUUCGAGCCGCGGCUAGCAGAGUCUCCUUUGUUCUAUAAUAAUGAAAGCGCACCACCGUGUCUCUCGGCGUGUCUUGAGCGAGUCUCGGUGGGCGCGGAAGACGGUGGGCCCUGUCCAUAAGCCACUCUGAUU